GCAGAGCACUCCUACGGGAGGCAGCAGUGGGGAAUAUUGCACAAUGGGGGAAACCCUGAUGCAGCCAUGCCGCGUGUGUGAAGAAGGCCUUCGGGUUGUAAAGCACUUUCAGUAGGGAGGAAGGUAGUGUAGUUAACACCUGCAUUAUUUGACGUUACCUACAGAAGAAGCACCGGCUAACUCCGUGCCAGCAGCCGCGGUAAUACGGGAGGGUGCGAGCGUUAAUCGGAAUUACUGGGCGUAAAAGCGCAUGCAGGCGGCCUGUUAAGUCAGAUGUGAAAGCCCCGGGGCUUAAACCUCGGAAUUGCAUUUGAAACUGGCAGGCUAGAGUCUUGUAGAGGGGGUAGAAUUUCAGGUGUAGCGGUGAAAUGCGUAGAGAUCUGAAGGAAUACCAGUGGCGAAGGCGGCCCCCUGGACAAAGACUGACGCUCAGAUGCGAAAGCGUGGGGAGCAAACAGGAUUAGAUACCCUGGUAG
rnacentral:rRNA from 1 species